CUUCAGUGAUGACCGUCUUUUUAAAGCCAUAGGUUUCCUUUAACUGUCGGGAGUCUACAGAUAUUCUCGACAUUCCAAAUGUAGGAUCUGGCCAGAUGAAAGGAAAGAGGCAACCGAUUAGGGAGAAGAUGGACUGUUGUUUUGAAAGAUGGAACAUCUCAGGAUGGGGAAACAUUUGGUGAGCACCAUAUUGGAUUCUACCAAAUUAUGUUCCAGGCUGCUUUCAUCUGCUACUUACAAAACCAACAAGUAAAACAAACAAACAAAAACCCAAAACUAAACAAAAAACAACAAAUGCCAAAGAAUACUCACAGAACUACCAAAUGAUUCCCUGAGCCCCUGAAUCAGAGGGAGCUGAAUCAUUCUGGCUGCUGAGUGCAGGGUGUUGGGAAAAAGUGCCAUUGUGUAAGUUAAGGAAAGGGUCAGAAAAUCCAAAAGACAGCAGAGGUGUUAAACAGCUUCUGUGCUGGGAUUCUCCUUUUAAGCUAUCCGAAGGCACAAAUCAAGAAUUGCAACCUUGGAGAUGUAACAAAUGAACCCAAUUCUGGUGUCGUGUUUUAUUUUAAAGUGAAAUUCCACUGUUUCCCAAGAGUUUGCACAUGAAGCUUUACAUAUUUUUCAUGUCAGCCCCCUUCCCUGCCACCUUUGUUUUCCAGCCUGCCUCCCCCAUAACAGCUGGACACAUCACGGUUCCAUUUUUCUAUUGGUUGUGACUGAAGUAGCUUGAGGUCAAUUAUUUCCCCAGCAAUUGACAAAGAAUCUUGAUGAAGAGGAAAGUGACAUUGUCCCUUGAACAACACUGCUCCCUCCUCCCCCUGCCCUCCUGGCUGAGAGGAGAGAGCAGGGCGGACUUUCCUUUUGCAAGGAGCCCAGCAGGGCGGUGGCGGUGGGGUCUGUGGAAGUGCGUGGGUAACAUAUGGUAAGUGGAGAAAAUAUUUAUAUUCAUGGUGAAAGAGCAGGAGAAGAUCCAAAGAAGGUCAUUCCACAGAGAUUUCAAGAGACACUGACUUGAUAUUGUGUCUUUGACCUGGAUACAACAGAGAAUUUAAAGAAAGAGUUUGCUUUUGUUGCUUUCCUGCCACCGUCACUCCCAACAAUCCGAAUUAUUGGCAAUUCAAAAA